rnacentral:rRNA from 1 species
UACAGAGGGUGCAAGCGUUGUUCGGAAUUACUGGGCGUAAAGGGCGUGUAGGCGGUUUGAUAAGUCAGAUGUUAAAGACCCGGGCUUAACCCGGGGGCUGCGUUUGAAACUGUUAGACUAGAGCAGGAGGGGAGAAUGGAAUUUCCGGUGUAGAGGUAAAAUUCGUAGAUAUCGGAAGGAACACCAGAGGCGAAGGCGAUUCUCUGGACUGCAACUGACGCUGAGGCGCGAAAGCGUGGGGAGUAAACAG